rnacentral:tRNA from 1 species
AGGUUUUAAGUUAAUUUAAACUAUAAGCCUUCAAAGCUUAAAAUAAAGAUUUAUUUUUUUAAACCUUG